GGGUCGGAAGCAUGGCAAGAAGGACGUGGACCGAGGAGAGCCGAUCGUGGGGCCAUUGGAUGAGCCCCGAGUUUCGUGAGCCUCUGGUCUAGCUGCUAGUGCUCGCGUCCCUCAUAAUCAGCUCUGUGUCUAAUGAAGUUUGGGGCUGGGCUGUGACAUUACCUGGCCACCGCCAAAAUCUGUUCCUUGCGGAAGAGCCUGUCCCUUUCUGCACCAUGUGGCCGUGGAUCAUCGGGUGACUUCUCAGCACCAAAGACACAGGAGUAGAGCACUCGGCAAAGGCCUGUAUCUUCCAAAUUCGGGGCCCUCAAGGUGUGGAUGAGGAAGGCAUGGACCAUGGCUCCAGAUGGAUGGGUGCUCCAGAGACCUAGGAGGUGAAAGUGAAGCCCCCACUUAGGAGGCACCCUCAAGAAGGGUGUGACCUGAGAGUGUGUCCAGAAAGUGUGAUGGUUGGACACUGAUCACUUAUCUACUUAGAUAUGCCUAACCAUUGAAUAAUGUAGUGUCUUGUCUGCAUGACAGAACAAGGCCCCAUGGCUGGAAAUAUCUCACACAACACUAAACCUACUUCUGCAAAACUAUCCGGAAAUCUCCAAAGCAUCAAGGUCAUGAGAGUGCAGGAAAAACUGACGGGCUGAAGGAAAUCAGAGACCACAGCUGAAUGUAAUGCCUGCUCCUGAAACAAAAAUAACCCAGACUUCACACCGGGCACCAUGAAGACAACUUUAAGUAUGGAGUAUGAGAUGGAAGUCUGGAUCGAAGCCACUUGGUUUUGAAUAUAGGAACGUGUCUUUGUUUUAGAAAAUACACAAGAAAAUACCUCUAAAUGCCGUAUCUGCAAAUGACUCUGAUCAUUUGGGAGAAAAAGUACAGAGAGUGUGAGACAACCCUUAUCCAAAGGCAUCUAUCUAGUUAACCAAAACUAUUUCAAAAAUAAGACAUGGUGGCACAUACCUGAAAUCCCAGCACUCGGGAGGUGCGGGCAAGAGGAUCAGAAAUUCAAGUCAGUCACAGAUACAUGGGGAGUCCCUUGCUGCUCUGGACAACAUGGGACAGUGGCGACCCCGGGGUCGCAAGGCUGAGAGGACUCUGUGGUUAGCCCCGGUUAAGGCUAACCAGAUCAAGAAUUCAAAGUUACCCAACAGGAAAGUUCGCAAACCCGCUUCAGGAAGAGAAGUCAGAUUUGUAAGACUUGACCUCUGGUCACCUUUCUGCCGCCAGCAGGGCGCGUAAUCAUUCCCGGCCCCACUUACGUCACUGCUCCGCGCCGGCAUCGGCGCGCUGGACUCUGGGGGUUAUAGUGCGAACGCAGCCCUGGCCAGGCCUGUUGUCAGGAUGUGGCGCCCUACUUCGCAAGGGCGAGCAGGCUUCUGAUCAGCCGACCCCGCAGCUGCGAGAGCGCGCUGGAGGGUUCGGGGCGCGGGCGAGCUUCUUUGGAGGCGCUAGAAAGCCCUUGACUAGCUGCGGCCUGGGCACCGCGAGGAUGGCCGCCAGGGGGCGGUGAGGCCGCCGCGAACUGACCGGAACUUUCCACGGAUGCCGCUGCACCGCUAACCCCAAGCUACGCUGUGUGCAGUGGCAGCCCAUGUCAAGACCAAAACCACUGGAGAACUGACCUUGUGUGGGAUGUCUAGAGAAGAGUGCAUUGAGCAUUUGUCCUGGAAGACAGUGGAGGACCCGGAUGAGUGUGGUACCACAGAAGGCCUCCCUGGUGAGCACUGGGGGCAGGCAGCAGUGGAGGUCUCGCCUGAUGGUUUUGCUUAAGGGCUGUUGUGGGAGUGCCCUGGGAGAUCUUUUCCUUGUGGCCACUGGCCUCUUCUGAACCUGUGCUUCAGAGUCUGUUGGGCCCACCUGGAAAUAUUCACCCAUGCGGGGACUCUGACAUGGCCCAAAGCAGCCAGUUCGGUAGUGUCCACUUCAUGUUAGCCAUACUGAAAUAAUCAUUUACUUUGUAUUCUUUUGUUGUUGUUUCUCUCUGUAUAGCCCUGGCUGGCCUCAAACUCAGAGAUCUGAAUGUCUCUGCCUCCCAAGUGAUGGGAUUAAAGGCAUGAGCCGUCACUGCCCAACUUGAAUUCUGGUUUUAAAAUGAACUAAGAGCCAGAAAGUGCAUGCCUUCAAUCCGAGCACUGGAGAGGCAGAGGCAACCAGUUGAGGAAACAUAGUGAGAUCUUUCUCAAAAAGAAAUAAAUAAGCUAAGAAUGUAAUAGAAUCCUUUUCCUGCACUGGAAAGAUACACGACUUGAGUUAAGCAUGGUUCAGAUUUAUAAUAUAAAAAGAAAGUUGGGCAUAGCCUCUCCUUUGGCAGAUGACUAAGUCACACAUCACAGUGCUGAAUGGAAAGUAUUUGGAGCAUGAGCUCUGCUUCCCACAGCAGCCAGCAUGGAGGGAAGAGAGGAAGAAGGGAGAGCUUGAACAAGAUGGUGAAGGAUGGACAUGACCUGAAAGGGAAUAGAGAGCCUAAUAUGAAAGCAAGAAUGCUUUCCCUGGGGAGACACAAACAAACCUGACCUGCUUUUGUACAGAGCAUGAUGACAAAGCAGAGAUUGCACCAGAGCCCAACUUGGGGAAAGCGUGAGUUCCACCAGCCUGUUUAUUAUGCACACACAGCGGGAGCGGCUGGAUAGUCUCAGUAGGCAGUCUCUGGAGGUGAACAGUCUCAGGCUGUACCAUCCAGGAGGAGGACACCAGAGUUGCUAGUCCUUGCACACACUGAUUGAUCGGUCAUAAACACUUACACACUGACUCCUUGGGAAAGAUUUGCCAUCCCUCUCAUGCCUGGCCCAAAUGUGUUUUGCAAAUUUCCCGUGAGUCAAUUGGAGUAUUUGACAGGCUGUGCCCUUGUCAAAAUACGCAUUCACUUGGGACUUCCCUCACUCACUCAGUGCUUCCUCCCCUCCCUAUGGGAAUGGCAACAAUCAACAAGCCUGAUCUUGGGAGUCUCUUGCAAAGACUCAUGGCUAUUCUGAUGAAAAUGAUGGCUGUUCUACUUUGGAGGAUAGCAUUCAACAACAGGUUCAAAUGCUUGGAAUCACAGCACUUGGGAGGUAAAGGCAAGAAGAUCAUGAAUUCAAGGCCAGCCUCAGCUACAUAAUGAAUUUGAGGCUAACCUGAGUUACUCAAGACACUGCCUAAAACUGGGGGUCAGGAGGAGGAAAGUGUGUUAUCCAUUCAUGAGCUGAGGACAGUCCUCUUAGUACUUCUAGCAGGUUCUAUGCAGAUAAGUGCAGUAGCCACAGCAGGUAGGAGUUUACAAAAAAGGAGCAACAAGCCUGGCAGGGUGGUGGUGGCACUCACCUUUAAUCCCAGCACUUGGGAGGCAGAGGCAGGCAGAUCUCUGUGAGUUUGAGGCCAGCCUGGUCUACAAAGUGAGUUCCGGGACAGUCAGAGCUG